GAACAGUGGUUUUUAACUUUGGCUUUAUCUUCAGGAUUGUGGGCACAUUCCCUGCUUGAGAAGCUAUAAUUUUUAUUACUUCUUGAACAAAUGGUAUUGGUUAAGAGACCAAAAAUCACCUUCCCCCCUUGCAUAUUAAAUUGGGAAGUCUUCAUUACUUCUUUAAGCAACAAAGCCAUAGGCCAAAGGCCAUAAAACUGAUUUUCAACUACUAAAAUUGUAUUGAAUUGAGUUUGAAUGAGAUAGUUCAAAUGAUUGAGUAAGAGUUACCUUUCCUGUAAGAUUGUUAGUCUCAGAUUUUUCUUUUACAAUAGCAGAAGUGAAUCCUUGUUUCAAGUCUUUCAGAAUGAGAUUGGUAAGUUAAAAAUUCUUUCCUUCCAUUGAAAAUAGUGUUAAAAAUGUAGCCUACCCAAGCUUUUUGGACUUGUUCAGCUCCUAAUAUCUUGUUUACUGAUGUAUGCAGAUUGCAGACUAAACUGAUUAAGGUUAAGUUAGUACUAGGAAUCCGAAAAAGAGGGUUAGGAUCAAAAUCUCAGAUUGCAGUAAAUAGUUUUACACAAAACAAUAAAUAAUCAAACCAAAGUAUCUCAUGAUUUUAUCUGUUCACUCUAAAAUCUCCAGGCCACAUAUAAGUUUCUAAAAUUUGGCUUUCUAGGUUAUCAAUUCUUUGGAUAAAGCUUGACUGGAAGUCCCAUGGCAGGGUAUGGCAUUGGUUCACGUGUGAUAGGCUCAUCAGGAAUCAUUUCUGUCCAACUAUACUUUGUUACAAGAUGAUGGAUUAUCAGCAAUGCUUCAACU
rnacentral:lncRNA from 1 species